UGAGCAAUGUUUUCCUAACUA
rnacentral:piRNA from 1 species